rnacentral:lncRNA from 10 species
CUCUUCCCGGCAUGGGUUUCUGCCCAGCUCACCCGCUGUCAGCUGGGGUCCUGCUCUGGUGGGAGGAAGAGGCUCAGACGCUUCCCUGCCCUCUCGCCUCAACCACCUCGAGGCAGCGGCUCCCAGGAUGUGCACUUUGACGACUAAAGCUGAGCCGGCGCCGCCACGACCUUGGGCGGGUGGUCGGCCUCUGCCCUGAGCAGGAAGUAGAAAGUCUCAGCAGACCCUUCCUGAGGGCCGAGCAACAGUGUAGUGGCGUAUUCCACAUAGCAAACAGUUUUCUGAAGCUCAGAGGGACACCUUGUAUUGCUGGAUGAUAAAAACAGGAGCAAAGUGAUGAAGUGCUGACAAGGCAACAAUAGAACAUGAGAGAUUCACUGCUGUGUAGGAAGAGAUCUUCGGUGACCAUGUAGCCUGAAGCUCUCAUUUUGUCAUCGAGGGACACCAAAACUCAGAACAG